GACGGAGGAUGCAAGCGUUAUCCGGAAUGAUUGGGCGUAAAGCGUCCGCAGGUGGCAGUUCAAGUCUGCUGUCAAAGACCGGGGCUCAACCUCGGAAAGGCAGUGGAUACUGAACAGCUAGAGUAUGGUAGGGGCAAUGGGAAUUCCUGGUGUAGCGGUGAAAUGCGUAGAGAUCAGGAAGAACAUCGGUGGCGAAGGCGGGUUGCUGGACCAUAACUGACGCUGAGGGACGAAAGCGUGGGGAGCGAAUGGG
rnacentral:rRNA from 1 species